AGAUUGAACGCUAGCGGCAUGCCUUACACAUGCAAGCCGAACGGCAGCACGGGGCAACCUGGUGGCGAGUGGCGAACGGGUGAGUAAAGUAUCGGAACGUGCCCAGUAGCGGGGGAUAACUACGCGAAAGCGUAGCUAAUACCGCAUACGCCCGUACGGGGGAAAGGGGGGGAUCGCAAGACCUCUCACUAUUGGAGCGGCCGAUAUCGGAUUAGCUAGUUGGUGAGGUAAGCUCACCAAGGCUUCGAUCCGUAGCUGGUUUGAGAGGACGACCAGCCACACUGGGACUGAGACCACGGCCCAGACCUCCUACGGGAGGCAGCAGGUGGGGUAAUUUGGACAAGUGGGGAAACCUGAUCCAGACAAUCGCCGCGUGUGCGAAGACGGCCGUUGGGUUAGUAAGCGUACGUUUGGACGAGGAAACGAACGGCGACCGGAA
rnacentral:rRNA from 1 species